ensembl:lncRNA LINC02270 long intergenic non-protein coding RNA 2270
CUGCCUAACGAAGAGGACACUGGGGCAUUUAACUGCCAGUGCCCAGCAGUCGUAGUUGAGUCCUGCUGAUGAAACAGAAAACCUGCAACCUGCCCUGUUUGCAGGCAGAACAGACAGUUAAAUAUAUCAGCCAAGGAACAGCAGGGGCUGGUAGCUGAAGUUUGGACAGUCGAGCCCGUAAAUGAUGGAGUCUGGCUCUGUCAUCCAGGCUGGAGUGCACUGAUGCGAUCUGGCUCACUGCAUCCUCCAUCCUCCUCCCUGAUUCAAGCGAUUCUCCUGCCUCAGCCUCCAGAGUAGCUGGGAUUACAGGUCCAUUCUUCCUAAAUGUUAAUCAAGGAAGCAAAGGACAUCUUGGAGGGAAGGAAAGAGCAAGUCACUGUUUUCUGUGAUUCAGCUACUCUCUGUAUUUUUUAAAGCUGUUUGAAUAUGACAGCGUUUCAACCUUUCAGAACAUUCAUUUUUCUCUUCUGAAAAAUGGGCUAAGAGGACCCAUCACUUAGAUUUUUCAUGGAGGAGGGUGACAGAUGGAAUUGUGUCCCUUUAAAAUUCAUAUGCUGAGUCCUCAUCCCCAGCAUGUGUGUCAUGAAUAUACCUCAGCAUGUGACUACAUUUAGAUAUAAGGUCUUUAAAGAAUUAAUUAAGAUUUAUUCCACUCUGUUAAGCUUCCUGAAUCACAGAGAAGUUGUCAGAAAGAUUUUAGCCUCCGCUAUAGGAAGUCCUGCCCACCUUCUCCAGAUCUCUGUUCUCAUAGUCCAUCCUCUGGUUCCAGGUGGAAGAAUUCUAAAAUCACACAAGAAAAUGUAAGAUAUCUUCCUCGAAUAUCAACAGAGAAGAACAGCAGCCACGUGGAUAAGGCAGAGUUUGGGAAAUCCUGGAUUCCCUUAUCAUAAAGCAUCUUACAGUAACCUCAGAAAUGCAGAAGUUACUUGUAAUGGUGCUGUAGACACUGUACGAGAAAGUUUCACCUUUAUGAUCUAAUUUAAUUCUCACAAAAACCCUGUUAGGUAGGGUGUUAUUAUUUAAAUUUAAAUCAGAGGAAAAUGUAACAGGAAUUCUGCAACUUACAGUCAAAGAGAUAAUAAACAGGAGCAUCUGUGGUUUGAAA